rnacentral:rRNA from 1 species
UACGAAGGGGGGCUAGCGUUGUUCGGAUUUACUGGGCGUAAAGCGCACGUAGGCGGAUCGUUAAGUCGGGGGGUGAAAUCCUGGAGCUCAACUCCAGAACUGCCUUCGAUACUGGCGAUCUUGAGUCCGGAAGAGGUGAGUGGAAUUCCUAGUGUAGAGGUGGAAUUCGUAGAUAUUAGGAAGAACACCAGUGGCGAAGGCGGCUCAGCUGGUCCGGUACUGACGCUGAGGUGCGAAAGCGUGGGGAGCAAACAGG